UGAAUACGAGAUGCUACGGCGUCGAAGCAGUCUAUGUCAUACUUCCAAGAAAAGCUCGCACUGUCAUAAACAAAUAAUGCCUGUACCAUAACCGACACAGGUGGGUAGGUAGAGUAUACUAAGGGGCGCGAGAUAACUCUCUCUAAGGAACUCGGCAAAAUGACUCCGUAACUUCGGGAGAAGGAGUGCCUUAUUUAUAAGGUUGCAAUAACAAGAUCCAAGCAACUGUUUAUCAAAAACACAGGUCUCCGCUAAGUCGUAAGACGAUGUAUGGGGGCUGACGCCUGCCCAGUGCCAGAAGGUUAAAGAAGUUGGUUAGCAUUCGCGAAGCUGAUAACUGAAGCCCUGGUGAACGGCGGCCGUAACAAUAACGGUCCUAAGGUAGCGAAAUUCCUUGUCGGGUAAGUUCCGACCCGCACGAAAGGCGUAAUGAUUUGGAUACUGUCUCGGAGAGGGGCUCGGUGAAAUAGACUUGUCUGUGAAGAUGCGGACUACCUGCACCAGGACAGAAAGACCCUAUGAAGCUUUACUGUAACUUGAGAUUGAAAUUGGACUUUACUUGCGCAGUAUAGGUGGGAGGCGUUGAUAAUAUUCUUGCGGGAUUAUUUGAGCCAUCAGUGAGAUACCACUCUUGUAAUGUUAGAUUUCUAACUUUGUAUCAUUAUCUGGUCAAAGGACAGUUUCAGGCGGGCAGUUUGACUGGGGCGGUCGCCUCCUAAACGGUAACGGAGGCGCACAAAGGUUUCCUCUGAACGGGUAGAAAUCGUAUCUAGAGUGUAAAGGCAUAAGGAAGCUUGACUGUGAGACCUACAAGUCGAGCAGGGACGAAAGUCGGUCUUAGUGAUCUGACGGUGCUGAGUGGAAAGGCCGUCACUCAACGGAUAAAAGUUACUCUAGGAUAACAGGCUGAUCUCCCCCAAGAGUUCACAUCGACGGGGAGGUUUGGCACCUCGAUGUCGGCUCAUCGCAUCCUGGGGCGGUAGUACGUCCCAAGGGUUGGGCUGUUCGCCCAUGAAAGCGGUACGCGAGCUGGGUUCAGAACGUCGUGAGACAGUUCGGUCCAUAUCCGGUGUAGGCGUUAGAAUAUUGAGAGGAGCCUUCUUUAGUACGAGAGGACCGAGAAGGACAUACCUCUGGUGUACCAGUUAUCGUGCCAACGGUAAACGCUGGGUAGCUAUGUAUGGAGUGGAUAACCGCUGAAAGCAUCUAAGUGGGAAGCUCACCUCAAGAUAAGUAUUCUC
rnacentral:rRNA from 1 species